rnacentral:rRNA from 1 species
GAACGCCCCGCAAGGGGAGUGGCAGACGGGUGCGUAACACGUGGGAACAUACCCUUUGGUUCGGAAUAACUCAGGGAAACUUGAGCUAAUACCGGAUAAGCCCGAGAGGGGAAAGAUUUAUCGCCAAAGGAUUGGCCCGCGUCCGAUUAGCUAGUUGGUGAGGUAAUGGCUCACCAAGGCGACGAUCGGUAGCUGGUCUGAGAGGAUGAUCAGCCACACUGGGACUGAGACACGGCCCAGACUCCUACGGGAGGCAGCAGUGGGGAAUAUUGGACAAUGGGCGCAAGCCUGAUCCAGCCAUGCCGCGUGAGUGAUGAAGGCCCUAGGGUUGUAAAGCUCUUUUGCUCGGGAAGAUAAUGACGGUACCGAGAGAAUAAGCCCCGGCUAACUUCGUG